CUUUCUGAAACAGGCUUAACAUAUGUUCUUACUAAUCUGUUUUUCUUGAAGUGAUUUAAAGGCAAGGCACUGCCAAGCACAGUGGAAUAGAAGAUUUGCUCUCGUGGGUGACGGACCGUCAGGAAGAACAAGCUCUUCUCACAAUAUCUGGGACACCGGCUCAUUGUGGCUUCCAUGAAUACAGGGGAAAUUCCUGGCAUGUUCCAGGACCAAGAAAUGUGAAGGCCCCUCAGUGACUGAAAAUUGGACUGAACCUUUCUUGAAGAUUUCCUUUUUAACCAUGGCAGGAAGACUGGGAUUGUGACAAGAGGAAGUGGAAACACAGAAGAACAUUUAAUAGCAAAGAAUGGUUCUGCUCUGCACAGUACUGUCCUGCAUGAGGAACUGUCAGUGAUUAUGUUGUGGAUAUUACAUAUGAAAAUGGAAGAAAACAACAAUUUCUUUCACACUCAAAUGCAGAGAUGAAAGGAAAGGUCUAGUUGCAGUAACCUUUGC
rnacentral:lncRNA from 1 species